GACGAACGCUGGCGGCGUGCUUAACACAUGCAAGUCGAACGGAAAGGCCCUGCUUUUGUGGGGUGCUCGAGUGGCGAACGGGUGAGUAACACGUGAGUAACCUGCCCUUGACUUUGGGAUAACUUCAGGAAACUGGGGCUAAUACCGGAUAGGAGCUCCUGCUGCAUGGUGGGGGUUGGAAAGUUUCGGCGGUUGGGGAUGGACUCGCGGCUUAUCAGCUUGUUGGUGGGGUAGUGGCUUACCAAGGCUUUGACGGGUAGCCGGCCUGAGAGGGUGACCGGCCACACUGGAACUGAGACACGGUCCAGACUCCUACGGGAGGCAGCAGUAGGGAAUCUUCCGCAAUGGGCGAAAGCCUGACGGAGCAACGCCGCGUGAGUGAUGAAGGUCUUCGGAUCGUAAAACUCUGUUAUUAGGGAAGAACAAAUGUGUAAGUAACUAUGCAUGUCUUGACGGUACCUAAUCAGAAAGCCACGGCUAACUACGUG
rnacentral:rRNA from 1 species